GACGAACGCUGGCGGCGUGCUUAACACAUGCAAGUCGAGCGGAGCGGCGAACGGGUGAGUAACGCGUGAGUAACUACCACCCUCUCUGGGAUAACAGGUGGAAACUGCUGCUAAUACCGGAUAGUGGGGGAUGACUCGGGUCCUAUCAGCUUGUUGGGGGGGUAGGGGCCUACCAAGGCGACGAGGGGUAGCCGGCCUGAGAGGGCGACCGGCCACAUUGGGCUGAGAUAGGAGCCAAACUCCUACUGGAGGCAGGGGUGGGGAAUAGUGCGCAAUGGGGGAAGCCCUUAUGCAGCAACGCCGCGUGCGGGAUGUCGGCCUUCGGGUUGUAAACCGCUUUCAGCCAUGACGCGGUAGUGGCAGAAGAAGCACCGGCUAACUACGUGCCAGCCGCCGCGGUAAUUC
rnacentral:rRNA from 1 species